GGAGGAGUAGCUUAAUUGGAAAAGCCCCGGAGCUCCACAACGAUUCAGGGUUGUUGUCAGUUCGAAUCUGACCUCCUCCA
rnacentral:tRNA from 1 species